rfam:Oryza barthii chromosome 5, whole genome shotgun sequence.
UCUGGUUUCCGUGUCCAACAUUUGACCAUCCGUCUUAUUUGAAAAAAUUAUAAAAAAAUUAAAAAGAUAAGUCACGCAUAAAGUAUUAAUCAUGUUUUAUUAUCCAACAUCAAUGAAAAUACUAAUUAUAAAAAAAUUUCAUAUAAAACGAACAGUCAAACGUUAGUACGGAAAUUCAAGGUUUGUCUUUUU